UCCCCCAUCUCCAUGACCUUCGCUGCGCAACCCCGACCGUGUGGGGAGCUAUUCGGGAGUAAGCGGGUCGACGACGUAGGGACGUUGUGGACGUCGACUUCAGCCGUACCUACAGACUCCGCGUGUGGCCGUGGAGCGUCGCCGUCAAUCAGGGAAGGCGCGAGCACCAUCUGCGGCUGGAGUUCUGACUGAAUUCUCGGACGAAUUCCUUGUCGGAGUGCGUUACCGCCGUGGGAUCCACAUCGCCGUAGGCACCGCUUCCGAAGUCGCAUCCGCCUCCGGUAAGCUGUUGAUCGUGUCCGCCCAACUCCUAUAAUCAUGUAUCCUCGUUCGGUUAGGGGAUUAGAGUAAUGGUUUGCGGAAUCUGCUGUCACCGGCGGGGUUUCGUCGCCGCGGCACCAUCGUUCACUCUGCUGGCGGGCUAUCGGAGGAAGAAGGGUCCGAGGCCAUGGAUUUCACGAUCACCGGCCACGAUUAGAUGAAGUGUUGCGCGUGUGGUAGCCGUGGGAUCGUAGAUGGGCGGUAAAGAUUUAAUCGCGCGUACCCCCCUAGGCGAUUCAAUCUGGACCGUAGAGUUGAUCGGACGGUUUGUGGUAAGUAGGGCCUCAAAAAAAUCUGAACCCUGGAAUUCCGAUCCAAUGGUGGCUAGCGCAUACCGAUUCAUAAGCGACAGGAUCUAAUCUCAGCCGCAAGACUUAGAUCUAACGGCUCCUAAUACCCGAUACCCCUUCAACCCAGACAUUUUGCUUAAGAGCCCCCGUAGUUUUACGAAAUAAACCUGCAGUACAUCUCGGUGUAGCCUGAGUCUUGAGAAUAUUUCGAAUUAGCCCCUGCACUUCUCUGAAAUUGUGCCCGCAGUUCAGAACUCGAUGAAAACUGAACAAAUAAAUACAGAAAAUACUUUCUAGUAUAAAAUUAAAUCUAGAACUUGUUUAAUCCCUAGAAAAUUCAUCUUAGCUCCUUUUUACUCCAUUCCAGUUGCAAUAAUUUUGUAUUAACAUUGUUCAUCACUUAGUAACUCUGUUUAGCCAUGAAACUUAGAUUAAAAUUAUUCACUUGAGUCAUUCCAUACCAAGCACUUAAUAACUUCGGAAAUUCAUAACACGAUAACCGUAACUCCGAAUUUAGUGAUUCUUGUUCCUACAAUCUCAUUACGACGUGUCGAAUAUUAUCAUGCAUUAUGUUUUGCUGUUUGGUGUGAUGUUAAUUUCUGCUAUACCAUGUUUGUUUGUAUUGUUGCGUUGCGAGUAGACGAGCAAGCCACUGAUGACCCAGGUGUUUAGCAGGUGGAGACUGCUGAGCAGGAGCUCGUUGAAGG
rnacentral:lncRNA from 1 species